CAGCCGCCGCGGUAACACGAAGGGUGCAAGCGUUAAUCGGAAUUACUGGGCGUAAAGCGUGCGUAGGCGGUGAGUUAAGUCUGCUGUGAAAUCCCCGGGCUCAACCUGGGAAUGGCAGUGGAUACUGGCUCGCUAGAGUGUGUCAGAGGAUGGUGGAAUUCCCGGUGUAGCGGUGAAAUGCGUAGAGAUCAGGAGGAACAUCAGUGGCGAAGGCGGCCAUCUGGGACAACACUGACGCUGAGGCACGAAAGCGUGGGGAGCAAACAGGAUUAGAUACCCGCGUAGUCCCUGUCUCUUAUAC
rnacentral:rRNA from 1 species